rnacentral:misc_RNA from 1 species
GAAGAACUUCUCCUAUGAUCUGCCCAACACUUUGGAGGGACUUCAGAUCAUCCUCAGUUUUGGUGAACUCUUUUUUUGCAGCUCUUAAAUUCUCUCUCCCUGUGCGAAGCCGGGAAUUGAGUUCCUUGUGAUUUAGGGAUUUCUUCCUGUACUCGCUGGCAGCGGCUCUGCGGCGAGCUGCUUCGUCGGAUCCGUCGGCCAUGGCUUACUUCUUCGACAAGGAUCGA